rnacentral:tRNA from 1 species
AAAAAUUUAGUUAAUAUAUAACAUUAGUAUGUCAAGCUAAAAUAAUUACAAAAAUAAUAAUUUUUA